CAAACAAACGCGGCUGCCCAUAUCUCACAGCUAAAUCAAUUCCACAACGUUGGCUACCCACUCGCUCUCCCCUUCUAGGCUUCUACCCCUGGCGCUGACGAUCAAAGAUAAUGGCGACUAGCUCCAGCGAUGGUGAAAUGACAUUGAAGCCGCAAGCUCAACUACCCAAUCAUCCAAAUGAUUCGAAGCUACCCCAAUAACUGAAAAUCAUAAACCCUAACCUCCAUUCAUCCCCAAAUCGUAUUACUCCUCUCAAUCGCACCUCCGCUCCCCCUAUUCCCACCACAGAUUCCAAGCAACCAACCACUCCCUCCACCGUCAAUUCAUGGCCGUGUGAACCCUUACGCCGUACCUAACUCCGAGCCAUCAACAUUCCUAGUUAUUCAGGUUUGAUUACUGGAAAUCUGCUUGAUCAGAUCUUUAUGCCAGAUCAAUUGCUUUUGCUCUUGGGUUCAUCCAUCACAGCUGCAGACGUUAAAACCAAACAGUCUUCUUAUUGCAGACUGCAGACAUUUGGUUCACCUCUUCUGCCGCAGAGGCUUGCAGAUGUAGUCCGCAGAAUGCAGACAUUUUGGCUUCAAAAAAACAAACAACACCUUACUUUGUUGCCCCUGUUUCUCCUCUUCUUGUUCCAUCUCUUCAUGGUCUUUCAAGUGCCCCUACCGUGUAAACAACUUAUGGGUUUCAAAUAAUCGGAGGGUAAGAAGUGUGAUUAUAAAUAAGGAUAGAACUGCCUCAAUCCGCUUGUCACCACUUCGCCCCGCCUUGAACCGCCUCAACCAGGUAAGGUGUACGUCUCAGAUGAGGCUAUAGAGGCACUGCCUAUUAAGUGGUUUUCUUUUUUUUGUUUGUUUUCCUUCCACACAAUCAUGUAAAUAUUUUAGUUUAACAUGGUAGUGGAAGCAUUUUGACUCUUUUUGGAUUUGGUGGCUUUUAAAUCUUAAUGCAUGCUUCAUGGAAAUUGUUACUUUAACUAAGAGAACGUGUUAUGAGCUCCACUAGCCAUUGUAUUAACUAAGAAAAGCCUAGGUUCUUGGAUUGUUAUAGCUAAAUCAGAGAUUCAUUACAAUCACAUUGACUUCUAAUGAUUUAUCUAACAAAUGUUCAAAUGAUGAAAUUCCAUUGUUAAGCAUUUCCUCCAUAUUGAUUUACACAAAUUCUUACUGGUUUAAUUUGUGCUAGUUAAAGUUAGAUUUUAACAAGUAUUUUUACAAUUUGAACCAAUCUCCGUGGAUUCGAUCCCUUACCAUUAAACACUAUCUUUUGUGCAAUUUCUAGGGUUAAUUAUGGAUGGAGUAAUUGUACUGUGAUUGCUUGUGAAAACUCCACAAUCUAUCAAAGAUAAUUUGGGAUACUUUGUUUCGGUCCAGAAAAUAUCAACCUAAUGUAAUCUUUGUUUCUUUACAUGCUAUAAAUGGCUUCCCAUUGUUUUUCGAUAAAUAUCGGUAAAUAAAGAGUGUGAAAUGAGGUGGCAGAAAUGGUUAUGAGUUAGUGAUAAACUUGUUCACGGAACACGUAAACUGAAUGUGUCAAGGAAUCCCAUUUUAUUUAUCAUUCGAUAAAUGUUGUUUUUGGAGGGAUUGAUAUAAAAUGGUUUUCUCGAGGUCUUUUUGAGUGAUGGUUAACGUCAUGGUAGUGGUGACGUAAAUUGUACUACGACCAACUUCAAUUUCAUUUGACAAGUAAAAGGAACUCAUCAAGCUUUGAUGAAUCUUUGUUGAUGAAGUUGUCAUAGUUGUCUUGAGAAGGUGAUGACAGAAGAUCUUAGUGAUAGCGCAAGAGGAACAUGUUUCUAGCCCUUUUUUUUUUCGCCGUCCCUUUUCCUAAGAAAUUACUAAUCUCUUCAGUAAUCAGAGAAACAAAGCUCAAUCAAACACAAAUUUAGGGGGAGAAAUAAACAAAAACCAAACAAAAAUUUAAAAUUUCAAAAUUCAAAAAACAUUAGAAAAUCAGAAAAUCAAAAAUAUGUUGCUGAUAGAUUUUGUUUGUAGGUGAUGUGUCGGGAAGUGAUAUAAUCAUGUGAUAACAAACAAUCUGAAUCUGUGUAAGGUACCAAAGUUGAAUUGUCUAACCUCUGUGUUCGAUGUGCUGGUAGGCACGAAAGUUUUUAGAAUGGAUUUGAUUAGGAUCAAAUGAACUUAAGGAAUCUAGAGACCUGACAAAUCUUGACCUAGAUAGUUCCAUUUAGCCUGACAAUACUACGCUUGGGUAGGUUGAGUAGAGAGAUAUACAUGAGAAUCUGCGAAUACAUUAAAUGAUCUGUAUCUAGAACUGUGGAUUAACUUUUCCUUGAUGUGCGGACUUCGUUCUUAAUUCCGGUAUUGACGGGGCAACUGGGGAAUUCCGAUAAAUUAGGUCUGUAGAAAAUUAUUUUCUUUCUUUCUAUCUGUUAGUCAUAUGUUGCUUCCUCUACUGAUUGGAAAAGAUCUGACCUGAAAUGCAACAUAUGCAACUCUGUCUCUCUGCAUCUUUUUCUAUGUUAUUCUUCCUACUUGUUAGCCAUAUGUUGUCUCUUUUGCGUGAUUAACAAUCCGACCUGGUACACAGCAUAUGAAACCUUCUACUUCUCAAUCCCUCUAAACUCUGGUUAGUCAUAUAUUUCACUCUCUGCGUGAUUGGAAGAGAUCCGACCUGAGUGUACAACAUAUGCAUUUUAUAUCUAACUUCUUCGUUAAUAAUUGUCUGCUCAUCUGAAGUAAGGAGUAUUCUGGAAAACCUUGAUUAUUAGGGUAUAUUAGGAAGCGGAAAACACGUUCUAAUACAAUUAAAAUUGAACAUUUUAUAGGUUGUCUGUAGAUCUUGCUGUUCAAUUUAGGUGGACAACAAUAUCCUAAAUUUGUCACAACAUUUCGUGUUUAAGUGGACUACAAUAUCGGCGAUUGACCAGACAUGAACAUGAAGGUAUGCUAUUUUCGAUCCUCAGAAUGUCAUUCUCGCAUCGAAUCGACCUGUAUUAAGGGUGUAAUCGAAGAAAAAUCGUGUACGGAGUUUACGGCCAGACUUUUUAAGGCCAAGAGCUUACGGCCAGAGCUUACGACCAUGAACUCCCUUUGACCGUUGAAAUGACAGAUCUAAAAUUCGCUGAUAGUCACAACUUGGCAAUUCUUUUGGCUGAUCCUCCUGUUGCUCAUGGAGAGUUCAAGUCAAUGAUACAUGGAUUAAGGAAAUGUUGCCUGACCACUGCUCUUACCGUGAAUCCAACAAUUUAUCAAGACGUAUUCAAAGCAUUCUGGAGGUCAGCUGACAUAAAGAAAAGAGAAGAUGGAUCUGUAUCUGUUGAAGCUACUGUAAAGGGUUGCAAAAUCAUCAUAACAGAACAAUUCAUCAGGGACGUUUUGAAAAUCGACGAUCAAUCUACCUUCCCUACUGAGAUUGAAAUAGAUCAAGUUCAGGAAGUUCUCAACAAGAUGGGCUAUGAAGGCGAAUUUCCUCCGACAAUGAAGAAGCUGCUACCACCUUACUGGAGAUUCUUAGCUCAUGUCUUUGUGAGCUGCAUAUCGGGAAGAAAAUCUGGCGCAUAUGAAAUUUCUUUAAGGAACACAGUUGCCAUCAUUUACUUGUUGCGGGACUGAGUUUCAACUUCUCCAAGUUCAUCCUUGACGAGCUGAUUGUAAACAUCAAAGGAAAAACAAGGGACAAGUUCUUGAUGUAUCCAAGGUUCAUUCAAGUCUUCAUCAACGAGUAAUUUCCUGUGAUUGUUAAAGAAGGAGAAACUCUAGACAUGAAGUCUCUCGGGCCAAACACUGUCGGACUAAUCAAGCAAAACCGAAAGGGAAAACUUACUUUUCAAGGAAAGUAUCCCUUAGUGAAGUUUGGUAUGUUUGCCGAUUCAAGCGAGGCAUCUGAGUCUCAUGAGUCUUCAGACCGCAUAACUUCUGAAGAUGAUGUUGAUCUCUCAGGUUAUGCCUCGUUGUUUGACAGUAUUUGUGAUGUUGCUCAUCUAGCAAUAAAGAUAAGGGAUACAAAAGAUGUUCUUGAAACAAUGCCUCCUACUUCCACCCAAAUGACUGACACUACAACACCUAUGGAGACAACUUUAUGGAUUCCUCUUUUGAGGAUGUUAUUCCCACUACUGAGCCAUUUGUGAGUGAACCGUUGACGACUCAGACCUCCCAGCCUCCAUUGAAAAAGAAAAGACGUGAUCCGAGGCAGGGAGUAUUCAUUCCAGAACAAUCUCAAGGCCAUCUGACUCAACCAACAACUACUCCAACAACUACUUUUGCUGUUGAUUCAUCUGUACCAUCCCACGAAGGACCAAGCACCAUUUUUGAAGUUGGUGGUUCAUCAGCUCUCCCAAGAUCAGCUCCUCCUAGGCCUUUUCAUGUUGCUGCCUCUGUGAGGCUUGCUAUGUAUCUGGCCCAACAACAAAGCUCAGUGCCUUCCUCCUACGCUAAAAGAGUUUCUAUAGAGGAAAGCCACCCAGGAGAGGAUGAUUCCACCAUGCACGAACUUAGAAAGGAGAUCGGCGUGCUAAACCAGAAAAACAUUGAGCUUGAUAUUCGUGUAGCUGAUCUUGAAGCCGAAAAAGCUCAACUUAACAUUCGUGUUGCGGAUCUUGAAGCAGAUAAAACUCUGAAAUCAAAGCAAAUCUCUGAUCUGCAAACACACUUGGGAACCAUAACUGCAUGCUACUUUGACUUGAAGAAGACACUGGCAGAGAAAUUUGGCGACAAAUUCAAAUCAUCCGUUCAAGAAUUCAAUGUUGGCCAGUCAUCUCAAUCCCCCUGUUGACCUGCCUGCUGAAAGAAGAACUCGGACCGUUGAUUGUUUAGAAAAAGAAUAAGUUCAAGCACCCAACAUUGUUGCACUAAAACGCGCCAAAUUAGCAACAUCCGCCAAGAAAAAGCAACUAUUGUUCAAGAAGAGCUCAUAUCAGAACGCUCCUGGAGAUCAACCCAAGUUACCGUCACUGAUCUUGAAAAGAAAAAUUUGGACACAAGUAUGGUGAUAGAUCAAGAAUUGUCUCAUGGGGUUUUCAUGAUAGGGUAAACAUGUGGAUAGUGAGACGAAAAAGCUCAAACGUGGAGUAUUACAAAGACUUCAAUGAUUUCAGUUCAUGUACAAGGGUUGAUCUUUCAGAACUAUCUAGUGCCCCAUUUGCAAAUCCAUCAGGUGAUCCAUGGGCAACUCAUUUCAAGCUUUGUUGGAAGACCAAGUAAAGAAGGGAUUUCCUAACAUGAAGACUGCUCAAAUCUAGCCUCAAACUAAAGGGGAGAUCGAAGUGUCUAGUUUAUGGUUUGGGCUAGGCUAUCUAAUGUAUAGGUCUUAAUGGGUCUUUUGUCAUGUAAUAAAGUUGUUUGGAAGUGUUUACGACCAAAAGUCUGUUUACAGCCAUAAACCUGUUUACGGCCAGCCUUUCCCCUAUAUAAAGGGCUUGUUAGAGUCUGUCAGUAGUUGUUGUCAGUCGAUAGAGUUUAUGGUCAUUGUCCAAGUUGUACCUGACGUUUUUGUGAUAUUAACGUGUGCAAAUCUUGGUUCAUUCAUCUUCAACUCCAUUCUUAUCUUAUUCGAUUGUUAGUUGCUUGAUCACUAGUUAAGAUCUUUGUUUCCAGGACCUUACAGCUAUCAGAGGUUUAUCAUAGAUUUUUCCAAGAUUGUUGUUCUUCUCACCAAAUUGACCAGGAAGGGUGUUAUCUUUGCUUAGGUGUUAGCCCUUACGGAGGGAGUAAAUGACUUCAUAGUCUACUGUGAUGAAUCUAUAUCAGGAAUGGGUGUUGUAUUGAUGCAGAGAGGGCACGUGAUAACAUAUGCGUCGAGGCAGCUGAAGCCUCACGUGACGAGAUAUCCCACUCAUGAUUUGGAGCUGGGGGCGGUGUAUUCGCCUUCAAGAUUUGGCGCCACUAUCUAUAUGGAGUCCGAUGUACCAUAUACACGAACUAUAAGAGACUGAAGUACCUUAUAGAUCAGUCCAACCUGAAUAUGAGACAUAGGAGGUGGUUGGAUGUGGUAAAGAAUUACGACUGUGAGAUUUUGUAUCAUCUUGGCAAGGCUAAUGUGGUAGCCGAUGCCCUGAGUCGUAGAGCAACGAGUGCUCUGAUCCGAGACAUGUGUAUAAAGAUGACGGUGAUGACUCCAGUCUUAGAUGGCAUCCAAGAGACCUAAGCGGUGGCCAUGAGACUAGAGAACCAUAAGAGAGAGCGGGUGAUCGAACAAAUUUGCGUUUGAGAUUGACAGUCGGGGGUUUAUGACUUUUCAUGGGUGGAUAUGGGUGCCAUAUAUAGGUGGAGCCCGACGUACUUUGAUAGAUGAGGCCCAUAGGUCGAGAUUUUCGAUCCACCCUGGGGGCAUGGGUAGUCGAGAGAUGUUUGACCUGUUGUCAGGUCAAGGUAGAGCAUCAGCAUCCCCAUGGCCAGUUGCAGCCUUUGGAGAUUCCCCUGUGGAAAUGAGAACAGAUCUCCAUGGAUUUUAUUACCAACUUACCGAGCAUUGCGAUGGGUGUCGACGCGAUAUGGGUGAUUGUAGAUUGGUUAACAAAGAGUGCUCACUUUUUGGCUAUAAGUGAGAACUCUUUUGCAGAGAAACUGGCCGAGGUCUACGUUCGAGAGGUGGUGGCACGGCACGGAGUGCCAACAUCGAUAGUGUUAGAUCGUGAUGUACGUUUUACUUCCAGGAUCUGGAGGAAAUUUCAUGAGGAGUUGGGUACCCGGCUACAUUUGAGCACCGCAUACCACCCACAGAUAGACGGGCAGAGCAAGCGGACGAUUCAGAGGAUCGAGGACAUGCUAUGCGCAUGUGUUAUGGAUUUUGGAGGGAGUUGGGACUCAUACCUGCCAUUGACUGAGUUUUCAUACAACAACCAUCAUUCCAGUAUUAGGAUGCCUCCUUUGAGCUUUUAUAUAGGAGGAGGUGCCAUACUCCCAUCUGUUGGGGGGAGGUCAGGCGGAGAGUGAUGGGGAACAUUGAGAUAGUGCUCAAGACGACAUAACAGAUCUCCAAUAGGUUAGACAGAGGUUGCUGAUGGUCCAGAGUCGUCAGAAGAGUUACGCCGAUCGGAGACGUUCCGAACUAAAGUUCCAGGUCGAUGAUUUUAUCCUCCUGAAGGUAUCCCCAUGGAAAGGGGUGAUUUGAUUCAGUAAACGGGGCAAGCUGGACCCUAGAUACAUUGGUCCUUUCAGAGUGAUUGCUCGAGUAGGUAAGUUAGCUUAUCGGUUAGAGCUGCUUGCAGAGUUGAGCUAGAUUCAUGACACCUUCCAUGUAUCCCAGCUGAAGAAGUGUGUAGCCGACGAGACGGUAGUUGUCCCUUUAGUGGACAUUCAGGUUGAUGAUCGUCUGAACAUCAUCAAGAAGACAGUGACGAUUUUGGAUAAGAAGGUGAAGGUUCAGUGGCAACAUCGUAGGGGUUCGAAAUGAACUUGGGAGUCAGAGUCCGAGAUGCGCGAGCAGUACUCAGAGUUAUUUCUAGAGGAUGACUUCGUGUGCGAAGUCUAAUCCUAGUGGGGGAGAAUUGUAACACCCCGAAAUAAGGUAUGUAUUGAUAACCCUUAGGUCCUGUUUGAUAUACGUCUGACCCGGCCCGAUCAUACGUUUUUUGCUGACUCGGUCAGCUAUUCUUGUUUGGGAAACAGAUUUUGCAUGUUUGACUCGGUAAGUUAGAUCUGGACGGGAAAGAUAUGAGAUAUCUACUGACUGAGAAAGUUCCCAAAAGUGCCCUUCCCUUUCCUUGCACUGCGUUCAAGUUUCAGCGCCUCCAUAUGGAUCUUCUCUCUUCAACGGUCGAUGAUCAGAACCUUUUCUCCCCACCUAUUGGUGAUUUCAACCACUACACCUGUACCGAUCGAAGAUAUCUUAUCAUUAGAUUGUUAAAUCUAAUGAACUAUUUCGUAUAAUCAUCUCAAUCCGUUGUAAGUACAAACUGAUUAUCCAUUCGUCAUCGUCAAUUUGAUGACAUAUGACUUCUCCAACCAUUGAGUUCUUAUAAGUGCCGUCUGAUUCUUAUCAUCACCUAGUAUGAUUAAACUUCAGAAUAUGCAUAUCUUCAAUUAGCUGAAUGAUAUCUUAAUUUAUAUGUUUUUAUUUCGAUUUGAUGCCUUAAACUGCAUUUGCUGCUUUAUAAAUUCAUAUGUUUAUAAUUUUGAAUGGCUUGAAGUUGUCAGUAAUCACUACUAAUUUGCAAUA